rnacentral:rRNA from 1 species
GAUGAACGCUGGCGGCGUGCCUAAUACAUGCAAGUCGAGCGAACGGACGAGAAGCUUGCUUCUCUGAUGUUAGCGGCGGACGGGUGAGUAACACGUGGAUAACCUACCUAUAAGACUGGGAUAACUUCGGGAAACCGGAGCUAAUACCGGAUAAUAUUUUGAACCGCAUGGUUCAAAAGUGAAAGACGGUCUUUCUGUCACUUACAGAUGGAUCCGCGCUGCAUUAGCUAGUUGGUAAGGUAACGGCUUACCAAGGCAACGAUGCAUAGCCGAACUGAGAGGGUGAUCGGCCACACGGGAACUGAGACACGGACCAGACUCCUACGGGAGGCAGCAGUCGGGAAUCUUACGCAAUGGGCGAAAGCCUGACGGAGCAACGCCGCGUGAGUGAUGAAGGUCUUCGGAUCGUAAAACUCUGUUAUUAGGGAAGAACAUAUGUGUAAGUAACUGUGCACAUCUUGACGGUACCUAAUCAGAAAGCCACGGCUAACUACGUG